GGAAGAGGCACAUGUGGGGACUCCCAUUGGACAGCAGCGAGGGAAACUUCAAGGAGGGCUUCAAAAUUGGAUGAAGAGGGGAUGGAGGUUGCUGUGUGUCGCCAUGGGUUCCUUUUGAAAGCCCUUAAUAUGUACAGGGGGAGAUAUUUGCCUACCCUCUGUACCUUCAAAGGGAGCUCAUGCCAGCCAAGGCACAAUUCUUUGCAAUGGACGUGGCAUGCAAAUACUGGCCAUACCUGGAGAAAGUUGCUAGUGUCCUUCCUGCUCUUCAGGAACUGACCACUAUGAAACCCUUUCUAAGUGUGAUGCAUGCUCGAGCCCAUGCUACUAAGUGUGAGAUUAAUUGGAGUGGCAGGAACCAGGAAGGAGCAGGGACAACCGCUGGUGAGGAGGUGGAGCAAGUGAACAGUUACCUCUCACGUUGUGCCCUGACAACCAAAUAUAUGUCCAAAGCAGCACGGGUGGACAUGCUUACAUUGCAUGCAAUAGGGUGGAAUGAGAAAAAAUCUCUCUUUACAUCAGGCACUUUCCACAAGAUAUAUGAAGACUUUUCAGAGACUCCAUGAUGAGACUGCAAGGCUAGCUGACCUAAAAACAGAGCUAGAUUGCACAGAUGAAGUGGUGUCACAGUGGCUAUCUGAUGUAAAGGAAUGGGCAGCUGGUGAGACACCUGAUACAUCUCGUGCCAGUCAAGGCACAACACACAGAGGAAUGCAGCAAUCAAUUGAGGGGCUCUACCUUAGUGUGAGGCACCGGAAGCGAACCCUCUACCGUCAGAAUGACAGCAGCAAGU